AAACGGGCGCGCCAGGGUUUGCUGGAACCGGGGUUGCUUAGGGGUUCUCGCCCCGUCUAGUCCGAGACUGCUGAGCACCUCGCCCCCGGGGGACCAAGCUCAGGCCUCCUGGCACUAGUGGUUAUAAAGAGGUACCCAUAUGCUCUCUGCCGCCCCUGCCAAAAAAAGGGCCACGGAGGGGAAGAGAAAAAGCACACACCAGGCGCCGCGGCAGGUGAACUUGUCAACAAGUCAACCCUGGACGCAAGUCCCUGCCCACCAGGGAGCUCGGGGUCCUGGGGCCGGAGCCGCCGGGAAGGCGAGGCGCGCGGUGGGUGGGUGGGGUGGGCUGGCAUGGGUGCCGGUGCUCCCAGCGCUGGGGCCGGAGCGCGGAACGCUUCCCUACCGCUCCCCCGGGGCUGACGCACGCUCUCACGGCGCGCGCAUCCUCCAGACCUUCCCAGGCCGGAGGGAGGAGGGGAGGGGAAGGGGCUGAUGCGGUUCCCGCACCGGGAUCCGGGACCCGAGGAGGCGACUCGCCUAUCACGCGCCGCCCGCGGAGGGCAGAGAAGGCAGCUCCUACCAGGCGUCCCCGACCGUCCCGGCUGCCGGGCGUCUCCUGCUGCUUCCUGCAGCCCGCCCGGCGCGCCCCCGCCCCGACCCCGGAGGGCAGGUACCUCGGAGCCCCGGCCCCCAGGAGCCUCCCGGCCGCGGUCGGAGCGUCCCUCCGGAUCACUCAUCCGACGUCAGCGUCAGCCGAAGGCGAGGGAAAGGGGCGGGGGGAGCGCAGGAACCGGCCCUUCCUGCGGCGGCCGCCACCAGCCGGAAUAGCAACCGGCGGAGCCCGUGCGCACCGCAGCGCAGCGCAGCGGCCGGGGGGUGCGGGCGCCCUCGCCGCCCGGCUACCUACCGCCGCCUGGGCGCCGCCGCUGCCUCCCUUCCCCGCUUCUACCCUCCAGCAGACGCCCGCCGGAGCGACCCCUCCCAGGGUGUUCCACGUGGCCAUAGCGUUUGCGUCACAAUGACCUGGCGGACAGGUGGGAGCCACAGCGUACACCCCAGGGUUCCCUCUGUGCUGUGCGUAGUGCCUACUGCUUGCUUCCAGGUUAAAUUUCUGUAGCUUUAGAGGACAGGAGACUUCAUGACUUCACUGCCAAGAAAAGUUACAGAGGCCUGCUGUACCUGGAAAUCAAGUUUGAGCUUCGAGAAUAAAGGUCAUGUUUUAAAAACAGCUGUGUAUGUAUAGAACACCAGUAAGGUGCUAGUGAGAACCCGAAACAGUUUCUAAGGAGAAUGGCUAUUGAAUGAUGGGAUCAGAAAUUAGGAGAGAAAUAAGGACCCUGGGCCAGGGAAAGAAAUGAAUGAAGAUGCCACCUUAUGCCCAGAACACAUCUCUCAUUCAAUGAUAAAGGAUUUGUGGUUGGGUCAACUUUUGUGAUGCUCAACUCUUUCCUUCGUAAGGACGGGCUCUUUCUCAGGAGGCUUUUGUACUCCCAAUUAACGCACUGCUAAUCUGAUGAAGCUCUAUUUUGUAGCUAUGCCAUCUGGAUCACAUAGCCUCCAAGGCCAGCAGAGCAGAGGAAGACAAAGAGCAGAGCAAGAUAGAGGUGGAAGUUACACGUCCUUUGUGCUUACUUUCUACUGGCCUCAUCGGGUCGCAAGAUCCCACUCUGAUAGGUGCAUGGGGGCUUGGAAAAUUAGAAAAACAUGUGAAUAUUUGGUAGGCACUUACAAUCUCUGCCAGCAUCUGCCCUUCUAAUCAGCAAAUUUUCAAUUACUUUUUUCUUCACCCACAUAAGACAUCUUAAUCCAACCUCAGGGGACACAUCCUGAUGUCCAAUCUAGUCACUACUUCAAGCUUAAUGGGAUACAUGGGCCUCUCUGUCAUGUCUGCAUGAGGCUCUUCUUGAUCAGUUGACCUAUGAACUGAAAGAAAGCAUAUAUCGUUGUCCUCCACUGUCUAUAUCACUGCAUACAGAGUGGUGGAAAGGAACAGAAUAACGAUGGUAUACAUUCCUAUUUGAAAGGGGAUGAUUAGAGACACAAAACAAUGAUAACAUCUCACUGGUCAGACAUGGUGAAAGUUCCCCUGUGCAGGGGAUGGUAAAUGUUCCUUAAUUAGGCCUUGGUUCUGGUCCUCGAGAGGCAUUCUUUUAUCCAUUGUCCUCUAUGGCUGUAAUCUGUGCCCUCCAAGAUAUUCUUUCUUUUCCAUUACUCUCUGAAGUGGUUGAGGGGGAAUACGUCUUCCUUUGGGGCUGCACGGUUUUCUCAGCAAACUUCUUUCCCACAGAACAUUGGCAGCUUAAGGGUUAUAAGUCUCAAAAUGUCAGUGGCUUUUUUUAGUCCAGGCUCAUGAUUUAUUUAACAAUGCAUUUCCCUCAAACACACAGUAGGCUUCUGAUCUAUUUGCUUUAAAUAACUUUCAUGUGGUAGUAACCACACCUAAAGUUCUUUUCUAGGCAUAAUUCUAAAAUCUGCUUUGUUUCGUUGCUUUCUCACUUCUGUGCAUUUCUCUCUCUUCUAUAUGGGGGCUGUGUUGAAGAUGUCUGACUAAGAGGUAGAAAGUUCACACACUUAAUCUGUUUACACUCUUAAUUGAUUCUCAUCCUAAGUCAUUUCAUCCAAUGGGGACAUUUCACUGUGAUUUUGUGGCAGUCUUUUGAGAUGCCAAGUCUUCCUGUUUAGAGCCUAGAAGUAGUCACUGUUCCAACUUAGAAACUUCCAAAUUUCUGAACGAUUUUUAUUCCUUUCAUUUCUGUUUGCAAGCCAGCCAGGGUUUUCCUGAGCUUAUUUCAUUAUUGUAAUCCUCUGCCAAAUACAGCCAACAUUCACUUUCAACAUUGUUUCCCUAAGUCGUUGGACUCAGAAGCCCCACAGUCUGCCUCCCAAAUUACCACAGGAUUUUAAUUUUUGCCAAAUGGUUUCCUACUGCUUAAAAUGGAUUGCCAUUUUUUCCAGCCUCUAACAUUGGAUUCUUCACUGCCCUCUGCCUAAUUACUAAGUCAUUGCUACACGUUUCAGGUUUCUUUGUGUUGGCCUCUUAUCACUGAUAAAAAUUCUGAAUUUGUUAGGAUAGGCUAGACUAUGCUGUGAAAACAAAUAUCCCCAUUUCAAUUCACUUGCUGAACAAAAUGAAGUUAUCUUUUUUGUUCACACAAAAUCUCCAGGUUCCCGUCUGAUUUCACUUUGGGCUGUGGUUGUGAGUAUUGGAGAAGUAUAAAUUGUGGGGCAAAUGGAAAGGAAGUUCAAGGUGACAUUUUGCUUAGCAAACUCGAAGUGUAUGUUGGUAUUAUUGCUUAGGUAUGGUAUAUUUAUUUGUAUGUUUACAUAGUGUGACUGCCUAAUGGCAUUAAAAAAAUCUAUAGUGCAUGGUUCACUGUUUUCCCUUCGCUGAGAAGAGCAAUGAGUAAGAAUAGAAAUAGGAAUAUAUUUUAUCUGAUGAACCAGGGUGAAAAUUAGCAAAAAAUUUGUGACAGUGGAUAUAUAAAAUAAAAUUUCCCCUUAAGUUAUAUAAUCAUGUUUACACUUUUUGCAUAUGUAACUAAAUGAAUGUAUACUUUCUUCUAGUGGCUUACUGGUAGAAAAUAAACACAGAUGUUUUUGUUUUAUAUUUUACAGCAAUGCUUUCAGUAACCUGGAGAGGUACACAUGGCUGGUAUAACAAUUAUCUUCAUUUAAUGAUGUGGAAACACCUACCACAAGUCCUGGCACAUUGAGGGUCUUGAAUAAAUUCUGUCAGAUGAACGGACAAGCGCACAAAAGGUUGAAAGAGUGAAUGAGGCAGGUUAAAUGACCAGUUCUAGAUUUGUUACUAAGUGACACAGCCUAACUGAGUUUUCUAAUGUUCCACUAACCCUGCUUCCAAGCAGCUUCAGAAUGCAGCUUACAUUUCUGCUAUAAAUAUUUUCUUUAGACUUUUGCUGAUGAAUUGAAGUUUCAUAACAAGAAGAAAGCAGAUGGCUUUUGGGAGGGGUUUAUACUUGCUCUUUUAACUGUGUUUCUGUUUUGCUUGUUUAUGCAGAGUGUGCACAAAGGUUGCCAGAGCCUUAAUUUCAAACUGCAUCAUUUAAUAAAAUACAAUAAGGAGAAUUAAGAAAGAAGGCUGCAGGGGAACAUCCUGCUUAUUAUCUCUGUAAUGAGAGGACUAUUUUUUCUCCCAUCAGUUGCCAAUGAUGAGGUUUUUUGUUUCCUUUUGUGCAGGCACAAUUGUGAUAUUCAACGAGAGUAGUGCGAAGUGCCACUUUACAGCCAAACAUUCAAUUCCUCCUAAUUCACAAGGGAGAGAGGGAUCAAGUUGUGCAGCUGGGAGGUGAUGUUUCUUCCCAGCAGCUGUCAUUGAGGAGACACGUGCAAACCAUAGAAGUCAUUUGUCACAAGAACCCCAUCCAGAAUUUGCUAUGUGCGUCUCACUUGCUAACGUGACAUGAAAUACUGAAGCUUUCAAAAAUCAAGUACAGAGACUUUGUUGUGUUGACAUGGGCAAAAUGAAAUGAAGAGCUGAGGCAAUUAUGUGGAUAAAUCAGGCCAAAAAUAUCCAACCAUUGAGAGGAAAAAGUUCCUUUGGCUCAAAUUAUUCAGAGUGACUGUCCAUGUUCAUCAAUUUAUCAGGAUAAUGAAUUUUAUCCUAUACUUUACUUUGUCACUAUAGAUAUAUCUUUAGUCUAUGAAUUUGAAUGACUUUGUGAUAUUUUACUUCACUGAAAAUUAUAAUAGGGGUUGAAUGAGCAAGCACCGUGUUAAAAGAUUGCUACUGCAGCUAUGAUAAUAGUCCAGGAGAUUUUAAACCCCGUUAUUCAAUAGCUAGCAGACAUAGUUAUUGGAAUGGGGGUAGAGAGGGAGACACGAAAUCUGUUGAGAAUCAAAUGCUUGUAACUAAUCUGUCUUUCCCAUUUAGCAUCCUAUUAUCCAAAAAUAUCUUGGUCUGUAGCUCCCACCUGGUUUCCUGGUCAUUUGACUACUGGUUAAAUGAGCCUGAAAAUUUCAUCAGGUUUCAUAUAAAGAAUAAUAUAUUAUAGUUACAUACAUAUAAAUGUAUAUCUUUGUGUAUUUUUAAUAUCCCUUAUUUAUCUACAAAGAGAUGAAUGUUUGAAAUAUGUGACGGAUAAGCAAGGUCAAUUCUUGUGUCUGCUCAUGCAUUGGCAUUGAGCUUUCUGCUUGGAGUCCUUAGCAUAUUCCGCACUUGAGCCAUCCUUCUUGUUUCUUCAUACUUCCAGAGCCACUAGAAUCACAGGCAAAAGGGCAGGAGCUUCUCCUUGGGGCAGAGGGAGAACCUCUGAGCAUUACCCUGGGUGGUUUGGUCCUGCCAGAGUCUCUUAAACAUUAGAGACAACUCACCAUUUGGAAGUUACAAAUCAUGAAAGUGCUCACUGAAGCAAAAUAAUACCACAUAAGAAAUAAAUGCCUAAUGUUGAUGAACAUUUUAAUCUUUAUUAUAAAAUUAUAACACAAAGAAGAAUCCUGAAGAAUGACCCUAAAGCUUUUGUCACAAUAGCAUUGUAAUGGAAAUACAGGUGUGUUUUCUUUUCUUUCUUUUUUCCUUUUUUGAGACAGGGUCUUGCUUUGUCACCCAGGGUGGUGUGCAGUGGAGCUAUCAUGGCUCACUGUAGCCUCGACCUCCUGGGCUCAAGCAAUCCUCCCACCUCAGCCUAUUGGGCAGCUGGGACUACAGGCAUGCAUAACCACAUCCAGCUAAUUUUUUGUAGAGAUGGGGUUUCUCCAUGUAUUGCCCAGGCUGGUCUCGAACUCCUUGGCUCAAGUGAUUCUCCCACCUUAGCCUCCCAAAGUGCUGGGAUUACAAGCAUGAGCCACCACACCUGGCCUAUGUGUGUUUUAUGAUUAAAAAAGAAAUACAUACAAUUAUUGGGACAGAACAAAAUAAAGAGAAAAAUACAAAUUACCUGUAAUUCAACUAUCCAGAGAUAAUUAUUUUUUACGGACUGAAUGAUGUUCUCCAAAAUUCAUAUGUUGAAGCCCUAGCCCCUAAUGUGAUUAAUAUGGUUUGGCUGUGUCCCCACCCAAAUCUCAUCUUGAAUUGUAACUCCCACAAUUCCCAUGUGUUGUGGGAAGAAACUAAUGGGAGGUAAUUGAAUCAUGGGGACGGGUCUUUCCCAUGCUGUUCUUAUGAUAGUGAAUAAGUCUCACGAGAUCUGAUGGCUUUAAAAAAUGGGAGUUUUCCUGUAUAAGCUCUCCCUCUCUUUGCCUGCUGCCAUCCAUGUAAGACAUGACUUUUUCCUCCUUGCCUUCCACCAUGAUUGUGAGGCCUCGCCAGCCAUGUGGAACUGUAAGUCCAUUAAAUGUCUUUCUUUUGUAAGUUGCCCAGUCUCAGGUAUGUCUUUAUCAGCAGUGUGAAAAUGAACUAAUACAGUAAAUUGGUACCAGUAGAGUGGGUUGCUGCUGUAAAUACCCGAAAAUGUGAAAACGACUUUGGAACUGGGUAACAGGCAGGGGUUGGAACAGUUUGGAGGGCUCAGAAGAAGACAGGAAAACGUGGGACAGUUUGGAACUUCCUAGAGACUUGUUGAAUGACUUUGCCCAAAAUGCUGAUAGUGAUAUAGACAAUGAAGUCCAGCCUGAGGUGGCUUCAGAUGGAGAUGAGGAACUUCUUGGGAACUGGAGCAAAGGUGACUCUUGUUAUGUUUAGCAGCAUUUUGCCCCUGGGCAUUUUGCCCCCAUCCUAGAGCUUUGUGGAACUUUGAACUCGAGAGAGAUAAUUUUGGGUAUCUGGCAGAAGAAAUUUCUAAGCAGCAAAGCAUUCCAGAGGUGACCUGGUUCACCACUUGGGUGCUGUUAAAGGCAUUCAGUUUCAAAAGGGAAAUGGAGAAUAAAAGUUCAGAAAACUUGCAGCCUGACAAUGUGAUAGAAAAGAAAAUCCCAUUUUCUGAGGAGAAAUUCAAGCUGGCUGCAGAAAUUUGCAUAAGUAAUGAGGAGCCAAAUGUUAAUCCCCAAGACAAUGGGGAAAAUGUCUCAAGGGCAUGUCAGAGGUCUUCACAGCAGCCCCUCUCAUCACAGGCCCAGAGGCCAAGGAGGAAAAAGUGGUUUUGUGGGCUGGGCCCAGGGUGCCUCGCUGUGUGCAGUCUAGGGACUUGGUGUCCUGCAUCCCAGCUGCUCCAGCCAUGACUAAAGGGGCCAAGGUACAGCUCAGAUUGUUGCUUCAGAGGGUACAAGCCCCCAGCCUUGGCAUCUUCCAUGUGGUGUUGAGCCUGUGUGUGCACAGAAGUCAAGAAUUGAAGUUUGGGAACCUCUGCCUAGAUUUCAGAGGAUGUAUGGAAAUGCCUGGAUGCCCAGGCAGAAGUUUGCUGCAGGGGCAGGGCUCUCAUGGAGAACCCCUAUGAGGGCAAUGCAAAAGGGAAAUGUGGGGUUGGAGUCCCCACACAGAUCUCUACUGAGACACCACCUAGUGGAGCUGUGAGAAGAGGGUCAUCACUAUCCUCCAGAACCCAGAAUGCUAGAUCCACCAACAGCUUACACUGUUUGCCUGAAAAAGCCACAGACACUCAAUGCCAGCCUGUUAAAGCAGCUGGGAGGGAGUCUGUACCCUUCAAAGCCUGGAUGUGAGACAUCGAGUUAAAGGAGAUCAUUUGGAGCUUUAAGAUUUGACUACCCCACAGGAUUUCAGACUUGCAUGGGGCUUGUAGCCCCUUUGUUUUAGCCAAUUUCUCUCAUUUGGAAUGGCUGUAUUUACCCAAUGCCUGAACCCCCACUGUAUCUAGGAAGUAACUAAUUUGCUUUUGAUUUUAUAGGCUCAUAGGCUGAAGGGACUUGCUUUGUCUGAGACUGUGGACUUUUGAGUUAAUGCUGAAAUGAGUUAUGACUUUGGAGGAAUAUUAGAAAGGCGUGAUUGGAUUUGAAAUGUGAGGACAUGAGAUUUGGAAGGGGCCAGGGGUGGAAUGAUAUGGUUUGGCUGUGUCCCCACCCAAAUCUCAUCUCUAAUUGUAACUUCCACAAUUCCCAUGUAUGAUGAGAGGAAACAGUGGGAGGUAAUUGAAUCACAGGGACGGGUCUUUCCCAUAUUGUUCUUGUGAUAGUGAAUAAGUCUCAUGAGCUCUGAAGGCUUUACAAAUGAGAGUUUCCCUUCACAAGCCCUCUCUCUCCCUCUCUUUGCCUGCUGCCAUCCAUGUAAGACAUGAUUUGUUCCUCCUUGUCUUCCACCAUGAUUGUGAGGCUCCCCAGCCAUGUGGAAGUGUAAGUCCAAUUAAACCUCUUUCUUUUGUAAAUUGCCCAGUCUUGGGUAUGUCUUUAUCAGCAGCAUGAAAACGGACUAAUACAGUGAUAGUAUUUGAAAAGGGGCCUUUGGGAGGUAAACAAGGUUAAACAAGGUCAUGAGGACCCUAAUCCAAUAGGAUUUGUGCCCUUAUGAAAACAGGGAGAGACAAACCAGAGCUCAUUGGCUAUCUCUUCCAUGUUGGGACACACAAAGAAGAUGGCCAUCUCCAAGACAGAAAUGUGAUCAUGCUGGCACCUUGACCCUGAACUUCUAGCCUUUGGAACUGUGAAAAUAAAUUUGUUUUUUACGCCACCCAGUCUAUGGUAUUUUGUUAUGGUAGUCCAAGCUGACUAACACACCACUGUUAAUAUUUUUACAUCCUUUUAUAUUUUAAUAUUAUUCUAUACUAAAAUAUAUAUCUAUCCAUCAACCCAUCCAUCCUUACGUACCUAUAAAGAUGGUGCUAUACGCAAUGGUUUACAUCAGCACUGUAUGAUAGACAUAUAUUGUGAAUCACAUACAUUAAUCACAUACAUUUAAAAUUUUUUUAGUGGCCUCUUUGGAAACAGAAAAAAUGAAAAUAUGAAAUUAAUUUUAGUAAUAUUUUAAAUUUAACCCAACAUAGCCAGAAAAUUGUCAUUUCAACAUGUAAUUAUUUAAAAAUUAUUCUUCAGGCCAGGCAUGGCGGCUCACUCCUGUAAUCACACUUUGGGAGGCCAAGGUGGGAGAACUGCUUGAGGCCAGGAGUUCAAGAUCAGCCUGGGCAACAUAGCAAGACCUUGUGUCUACUAAAAAUAAAAAAAAAUUAGCUGGGCAUGAUGGUGCAUGCCUGUAGUCUCAGCUACUCAGGAGGCUGAAGUGGGAGGAUAACUUGAGCCCAGGAAUUUGAGGCUGCAAUCCUGGUUGUGCCACUGUACUCCAGGCUGAGCAGCAGAGCAAGAUUCCGUCUCUGAAACAAAAAGUUAUUCUUGAGAUAAGUAACUUCUUUUCAAAAUUCUAAGUCUUUAAAAUAUCGUGUAUAUUUUACACAUACAGUACAUUUCAAUUUUGACUGACCACAUUUCAAGUGCUAUUACCACCAUAUUGGAAAGAGCAGUUUUAGAUCGAGGGCUUUCAGUCCUGGGCUGGAGUUGGGCUUCUCUACCUUAUUUGACAAAUGGCGUUAGACAAUUUAUUUAACUUUUUUUUUUUUUUUGAGAUGGAGUCUCACUCUGUCACCCAGGCUAGAGUGCAAUGGUGUGAUCUCAGCUCACUGCAACUUCUGCAUCCUGGGUUCAAGUGAUUCUCCUGCCUCAGCCUUCUGAGUAGCUGGGAUUACAGGUGCCCACAACUACACCCAGCUAAUUUUUGUAUUUUUAGUAGAGACAGGGUUUCACCAUGUUGGUCAGGCUGGUUGCAAACUCCUGAUCUCGUGAUCUGCCUGCCUUGGCCUCCCAAAGUGCUGGGAUUACAGGCAUGAGCCACUGUGCCCGGCGUAUUUACCUUUUUAAAUCCUGGGCUUCUUGUAUUUAAAAUGAAGGUAAUAGAAGCAUCUACUUCAAAGUGUUGUCAUGAUGCCUGAAUAAUCCAAUAUGUAAAGUAUGUAUACUUCAUGGUGGAGAGCAC
rnacentral:lncRNA from 1 species